GCCCCAAUGGCUCAGCGGUAGAGCGUGUCACUAGUACCGUUCCUCAUGGUCGGUUAAAUGCUAUGACAAGGUCGUCAGUUCGACUCUGGCUUGGGGCA